rnacentral:lncRNA from 1 species
ACGCUGACAGAUCACUGAACAGACAGAGUUUUUCCUGUAUGUCCUAGGCGUCACAAUCAAUACAAUAUAAAGGUUACAACCAGGAACAGUAUUCAACAUACAGAUUGCAUAAGGAAGUAUCAAAAACAUAAACAGCUAAACUAUUACAAACAUUCACAUACAUGCUUUUACAUCUCAAUUAUAUAUUACAUUAAACUUCCAAAUACAAUCUAAGCUAUUACAACUUUUGCUUGUUACAAGUUUGAUACAUUUGUUCUUUUCAUCUUUACACCCCUAGGAUAUGCCGACUCGGGGUACUUAUAUUUCUGGUGUCUGGGGUAGGGCGCUACCUACGGAGCUAUGCCCUUGCCUCGCG